rnacentral:snRNA from 1 species
GUGCUCGCUUCAGCACAUAUACUGAAAAAUUGGAAUGAUACAGAGAAGAUUAGCAUGGCCCCUGUGCAAGGAUGACACACAAAUUCGUGAAGUGUUCCAUUAAAAA